AAGCAUAUCAAUAAGCGGAGGAAAAGAAAAUAACAAUGAUUCCCCUAGUAACUGCGAGUGAAGAGGGACAAGCUCAAAUUUUAAAUCCAUCGGGUUUUACCUGAUCGAGUUGUAAUUUGAAGAAGCGUUUUCUGCGUAUUUGAUCAGCCUAAGUCCUAUUGAAUGAGGCAUCACGGAGGGUGAUAAUCCCGUCCGGUUGAUCAUUUGCGUUUUACGAUACGCUUUCUAAGAGUCAAGUUGUUUGGGAUUGCAGCUUAAAAUGGGAGGUAAAUUUCUCCUAAGGCUAAAUAACGGCGAGAGACCGAUAGCGAACAAGUACCGUGAGGGAAAGAUGAAAAGAACUUUGAAAAGAGAGUUAAACAGUACGUGAAAUUGUUGAAAGGGAAACGAUUGAAGCCAGUCGUACCUUCGGGUAAUCAGCCUUUCGGGUGCGAUUCUGUGGAGUUUGAGGAGCUUUAACACCUUCAUGCUUUGCAUAUUCGUGCUCUUGGGUGUACUUGCCCGUGUGGUUGGUUAACAUCAAUUUCGGGCACCAUAAAAUGGCUGGAGGAAUGUAGCUUCGAUCUUGUAUUGAAGUGUUAUAGCCUUCGGUAGAUGUGGUGAUCGAGAUUGAGGAUUGCAACGGAUACCUUUCGGGGCUACCUGUCUGAUCUCUGAUCGUUGCUUUGGUGCUGAAAGCGUGCUUAUAGUUAUCAAAGUCGAUGGUUAAUAGGUUAGAAUGGGUUAAAUUCGUUAAGGAUGUUGACGUAAUGGCUUUAAACGACCCGUCUUGAAACACGGACCAAGGAGUCUAACAUAUAUGCGAGUGUUAGGGUGAUUAAACCCUUACGCGUAAUGAAAGUAAUUUUGGUGGGAACACUUUUGUGCACCAUCGACCGAUCAGGAUAUUUUUUGAUAGAUUUGAGUAAGAGCAUAUCUGCUAGGACCCGAAAGAUGGUGAACUAUGCCUGAAUAGGGUGAAGUCAGAGGAAACUCUGAUGGAGGCUCGUAGCGGUUCUGACGUGCAAAUCGAUCGUCAAAUUUGGGUAUAGGGGCGAAAGACUAAUCGAACCAUCUAGUAGCUGGUUCCUGCCGAAGUUUCCCUCAGGAUAGCAGAAACUCGUUAACAGUUUUAUGAGGUAAAGCGAAUGAUUAGAGGCCUUAGGGUUGAAACAGCCUUAACCUAUUCUCAAACUUUAAAUAUGUAAGAAGUUUAUCGUUACUUAAUUGAACGUGAACAUUCGAAUGAGA
rnacentral:rRNA from 1 species